rnacentral:rRNA from 1 species
CACGUAGGGGGCGAGCGUUGUCCGGAUUUAUUGGGCGUAAAGAGCUCGUAGGCGGCUUUGUCAGUCGGGUGUGAAACCUCCAGGCUCAACCUGGAGCCGCCACCCGAUACUGCAAUAGCUAGAGUCCGGUAGGGGAGCAUGGAACUCCUGGUGUAGCGGUGAAAUGCGCAGAUAUCAGGAAGAACACCAGUGGCGAAGGCGGUGCUCUGGGCCGGAACUGACGCUGAGGCGCGAAAGCCAGGGGAGCAAACGGG